GACGAACGCUGGCGGCGUGCCUAAUACAGGCAAGUUGAGCGCUGAAGAUUGGUACUUGUACCGACUGGAUGAGCAGCGAACGGGUGAGUAACGCGUGGGGAAUCUGCCUUUGAGCGGGGGACAACAUUUGGAAACGAAUGCUAAUACCGCAUAACAACUUUAAACACAAGUUUUAAGUUUGAAAGAUGCAAUUGCAUCACUCAAAGAUGAUCCCGCGUUGUAUUAGCUAGUUGGUGAGGUAAAGGCUCACCAAGGCGAUGAUACAUAGCCGACCGGAGAGGGUGAACCGCCACAUUGGGACUGAGACACAGCCCAAACUCCUACGGGAGGCAGCAGGAGGGAAUCUUCGGCAAUGGACGAAAGUCUGACCGAGCAACGCCGCGUGAGUGAAGAAGGUUUUCGGAUCGUAAGACUCUGUUGGUAGAGAAGAACGUUGGUGAGAGUGGAAAGCUCAUCAAGUGACGGUAACUACCCAGAAAGGGACGGCUAACUACGUGCCAGCAGCCGCGGUAA
rnacentral:rRNA from 1 species